UACGAAGGGGGCUAGCGUUGCUCGGAAUCACUGGGCGUAAAGGGUGCGUAGGCGGGUCGUUUAAGUCAGGGGUGAAAUCCUCGGAGCUCAACUCCAGAACUGCCUUUGAUACUGAGGAUCUUGAGUAUGGGAGAGGUGAGUGGAACUGCGAGUGUAGAGGUGAAAUUCGUAGAUAUUCGCAAGAACACCAGUGGCGAAGGCGGCUCACUGGCCCGAUACUGACGCUGAGGUGACGAAAGCGUGGGGAGCAAACAGGG
rnacentral:rRNA from 1 species